UAAGUUAGCGGCGGACGGGUGAGUAACACGUGGGCAACCUGCCUGUAAGACUGGGAUAACUUCGGGAAACCGGAGCUAAUACCGGAUAAUAUAAAGAACCACAUGGUUCUCUAUUAAAAGAUGGUUUCGGCUAUCACUUACAGAUGGGCCCGCGGCGCAUUAGCUAGUUGGUGAGGUAACGGCUCACCAAGGCAACGAUGCGUAGCCGACCUGAGAGGGUGAUCGGCCACACUGGGACUGAGACACGGCCCAGACUCCUACGGGAGGCAGCAGUAGGGAAUCUUCCGCAAUGGACGAAAGUCUGACGGAGCAACGCCGCGUGAACGAUGAAGGCCUUCGGGUCGUAAAGUUCUGUUGUUAAGGAAGAACAAGUACGAGAGUAACUGCUCGUACCUUGACGGUACUUAACCAGAAAGCCACGGCUAACUACGUGCCAGCAGCCGCGGUAAUACGUAGGUGGCAAGCGUUAUCCGGAAUUAUUGGGCGUAAAGCGCGCGCAGGCGGUCUCUUAAGUCUGAUGUGAAAGCCCCCGGCUCAACCGGGGAGGGUCAUUGGAAACUGGGAGACUUGAGUGCAGAAGAGGAGAGUGGAAUUCCACGUGUAGCGGUGAAAUGCGUAGAGAUGUGGAGGAACACCAGUGGCGAAGGCGACUCUCUGGUCUGUAACUGACGCUGAGGCGCGAAAGCGUGGGGAGCGAACAGGAUUAGAUACCCUGGUAGUCCACGCCGUAAACGAUGAGUGCUAAGUGUUAGAGGGUUUCCGCCCUUUAGUGCUGCAGCAAACGCAUUAAGCAUCCGCCUGGGGAGUACGGUGCAAGACUGAAACUCAAAGGAAUUGACGGGGGCCCGCACAAGCGGUGGAGCAUGUGGUUUAAUUUGAAGCAACGUGAAGAACCUUACCAGGUCUUGACAUCCCUAUGUCCGCUUUAGAGAUAGAGUUUUCCAUUUGGGGACAAAGGUGACAGGUGGUGCAUGGUUGUAGUCAGCUCGUGUCGUGAGAUGUUGGGUUAAGUCCCGUAACGAGCGCAACCCUUGAUUUUAGUUGCCAGCAUUCAGUUGGGCACUCUAAGGUGACUGCCGGUGACAAACCGGAGGAAGGUGGGGACGACGUCAAAUCAUCAUGCCCCUUAUGACCUGGGGUACACACGUGGUACAAUGGAUGGUACAAAGGGCAGCAAACCCGUGAGGUUAAGCGAAUCCCAUAAAACCAUUCUCAGUUCGGAUUGCAGGAUGCAAAUCGCCUGCAUGAAGCUGGAAUCGAUAGUAAUCGGGGAUCAGCAUGCCGCGGUGAAUACGUUCCCGGGCCUUGUACACACCGCCCGUCCCACCAAGAGAGUUGGUAACACCCGAAGUCGGUGGGGUUACUCUAGGA
rnacentral:rRNA from 1 species